rnacentral:rRNA from 1 species
CCCUUAGAUGUUCUGGGCCGCACGCGCGCUACACUGAUGCAUGCAACGAGUUCUAUCCUUGGUCGGAAGGCCUGGGUAAUCUGUGAACGUGCAUCGUGAUAGGGAUAGAUUAUUGCAAUUAUUAAUCUUGAACGAGGAAUUCCUAGUAAACGCAAGUCAUCAGCUUGCAUUGAUUACGUCCCUGCCCUUUGUACACACCGCCCGUCGCACCUACCGAUCGAAGGUAAUGAUGAGCCCUCAGGAUUGUGGCCUCGUCGCGUCAGCGUCUUGGCUGCGAGAAUCUGUGCAAAUCCCUACCUUUAGAGGAAGGUGAAGUCGUAACA